rfam:Pantoea ananatis LMG 20103, complete genome.
AACGAGGUACAGUUCUGUUUAUGUAUGGCAUCUUCAGUAAAGAAGUUACGAGUAAAGACGUUGACGUUGAAUACCGCUUCCUUGCCGAACUUUAAUCAGUGCCUCAUUCAGUAAUGUCUCUGUUUUAUCUGUAGGUUAGCCUCCGGGCAAAAUAAACACUUUAAGGAAUUAGUAAAAUGGCAAAGAUUAAAGGUCAGGUUAAGUGGUUCAACGAGUCUAAAGGCUUCGGUUUUAUCACUCCAGCUGACGGUAGCAAAGAUGUAUUCGUACACUUCUCUGCUAUUCAGGGCAACGGCUUCAAAACGCUGGCCGAAGGCCAAAACGUUGAGUUCGAAAUUCAGGACGGCCAGAAAGGCCCAGCAGCGGUUAACGUUACUGCUAUCUGAUUUCGCCUCAGACGGGUGCCAUGCACCACAGUCUCAGAUAUUAAAGCCUUGGCCAACUGGCCGAGGCUUUUUU